rnacentral:lncRNA from 1 species
GUUUGCAGUUAUGUAUAGUAUAGAUGUAUACCAGAGAGUGCUAUCUUGGUAGUACUUGAUUUAGUGUACUACUUUAACAAUAAAAACUUUCGUAGAAGUUUUAGUGUAUAUUGUCAAAUUCAACGGGGUUAUGUUUCUUAUAUUUAGAAAUCAUAAACUGAUAAAUGAUACCCUCCAGCUCUGUUACAACUAUUAAAAAGCCGAUAUUUAGAAAUGAAAAAACUAAGAAAAAAAAGGUAAAUAAUAUAUAUCUACCGAAUUAUUUGUU